UACAGAGGUCCCAAGCGUUGUUCGGAUUCACUGGGCGGAAAGGGUGCGUAGGUGGUCGGGUAAGUCUGAUGUGAAAUCUUCGAGCUCAACUCGAAAAUGGCAUUGGAUACUAUUCGGCUGGAGGGUUGGAAGGGGGACUGGAAUUCUCGGUGUAGCAGUGAAAUGCGUAGAUAUCGAGAGGAACACCGGUGGCGAAGGCGAGUCCCUGGACAAUUCCUGACACUGAGGCACGAAAGCUAGGGGAGCAAACAGG
rnacentral:rRNA from 1 species